UGAAAAGAUUUGAAGGUGAAGU
rnacentral:piRNA from 1 species